rnacentral:rRNA from 1 species
AACGAGCGCUGGCGGCAUGCCUAACACAUGCAAGUCGAACGAGACCUUCGGGUCUAGUGGCGCACGGGUGCGUAACGCGUGGGAACCUGCCCGUAGGCUCCGAAUAACUCUCUGACAGGGGUGCUAAUACCGGAUAAUGUCCUCGGAUCAAAGAUUUAUCGCCUUUGGAUGGGCCCGCGUUGGAUUAGCUGGUUGGUAGGGGAAAAGCCUACCAAGGCGACGAUCCAUAGCUGGUCUGAGAGGAUGAUCAGCCACACUGGGACUGAGACACGGCCCAGACUCCUACGCGAGGGAGCAGUGGGGAAUAUUGGACAAUGGGCGAAGGCCUGAUCCAGCAAUGCCGCGUGAGUGAUGAAGGCGGUAGAGAUGUAAAGCUCUUUUACCCGGGAUGAUAAUGACAGUACCGAGAGAAUAAGCUCCGGCUAACUCCGUG